rnacentral:rRNA from 1 species
CGGUUAAAAAGCUCGUAGUUGGAUCUUGGCAAGUAGAGGGCGGUAUGCUUCGUAGCAUUACUGCCCUAUUACUUGUAGUUUUGCCAGAGGUUCCUGGGUGCUCUUAAUCGAGUGUCUAGGGAUGCUGGCAGGUUUACUUUGAAAAAAUUAGAGUGCUCAAAGCAGGCUAUUACGCUUGAAUAUUCGUGCAUGGAAUAAUAGAAUAGGAAGUUGUUUCUAUUUCGUUGGUUUUCGGAAAUCGACUUAAUGAUUAAUAGGGACAGUCGGGGGCAUUUGUAUUCAAACGACAGAGGUGAAAUUCUUGGACCGUUUGAAGACAAACUACUGCGAAAGCAUUUGCCAAGAAUGUUUUCAUUAAUCAAGAACGAAAGUUAGAGGUUCGAAGGCGAUUAGAUACCGCCCUAGUUCUAACCAUAAACGAUGCCAGCUAGCGAUCUGAGGACGUUUUUUUUGUAGACUCCUCAGGAAGCUUCCGGGAAACCAAAGCGUGUGGGUUCCGGGGGAAGUAUGGUUGCAAAGCUGAAACUUAAAGGAAUUGACGGAAGGGCACCACCAGGAGUGGAGCCUGCGGCUUAAUUUGACUCAACACGGGAAAUCUCACCAGGCCCGGACACCGGAAGGAUUGACAGAUUGAGAGCUCUU